GACGAACGCUGGCGGCAUGCCUAAUACAUGCAAGUUGAACGAUGAUAUUCUCUGCUUGCAGAGAAUUGAAGGGUAGCGAACGGGUGAGUAACACGUGGGGAACCUACCCAUGAGAGGGGGAUAACAUUCGGAAACGGAUGCUAAUACCGCAUAAUGCUUUGGACCGCCUGGUCCAGAGACGAAAGACGGCUUUUGCUGUCACUCAUGGAUGGCCCCGCGCCGUAUUAGCUAGUUGGUGAGGUAAUGGCUCACCAAAGCUGUGAUACGUAGCCGACCUGAGAGGGUGAUCGGCCACACUGGGACUGAGACACGGCCCAGACUCCUACGGGAGGCAGCAGUAGGGAAUCUUCCACAAUGGGCGAAAGCCUGAUGGAGCAAUGCCGCGUGAAUGAAGAAGGUCUUCGGAUCGUAAAGUUCUGUUAUUAGAGAAGAACAAGUCAAGGAGUAACUGUCUUGACUUUGACGGUACCUAACCAGAAAGUCACGGCUAACUACGUG
rnacentral:rRNA from 1 species